GACGAACGCUGGCGGCGUGCUUAACACAUGCAAGUCGAACGGUGAAGGGGCCUGCUUUUUUGGGCCCUGGAUGAGUGGCGAACGGGUGAGUAACACGUGAGUAACCUGCCCCCUUCUUCUGGAUAACCGCAGGAAAGUGUGGCUAAGAAGGGAUGUUCUGGGUCUGUCGCAUGUUGGGUCUGGGCAAGAUUGCGCCUUAGGGUGUUUUUGGUGGGGGAUGGGCUCGCGGCCUAUCAGCUUGUUGGUGGGGUGAUGGCCUACCAAGGCGGUGACGGGUAGCCGGCCUGAGAGGGUGGAUGUUCAUAAUGGGACUGGGACCCGGCCCAGACUACUAUAGCAGGCACAUCUUGCCCUGCACGACGCACGGGCGAUCGACUGAUUGAGCGUGGCUCAGUGCGAGCGCUAGCCGCUUGCGUAGCACACCCAUGUCGAACGUUGAAGAGGCCUGCUCCUUGUGGGUGGGUUGACGGUAGCUGGAUAAGAAGCGCCGGCUAACUACGUG
rnacentral:rRNA from 1 species